rnacentral:rRNA from 1 species
GAGGUUCGUGGUAGGAGAGCGUUCUAAGGGCGGUGAAGUCAGACCGGAAGGACUGGUGGAGCGCUUAGAAGUGAGAAUGCCGGUAUGAGUAGCGAAAGAAGGGGGAGAAUCCCUUCCACCGAAUAUCUAAGGUUUCCUGAGGAAGGCUCGUCCGCUCAGGGUUAGUCGGGACCUAAGCCGAGGCCGAUAGGCGUAGGCGAUGGACAACAGGUAGAGAUUCCUGUACCAGUG